UUGGCCUCGAUCAAGACCAGCAGCAUGUAGUAGCUGCUGGUUUCAAAGAGAGCCUAGAUGAACACCUUCCUGUGGUCUGUUGAUUUCUCCAGAGCUGAAAAGGGGAUAAUCUGUUCAGUUGGAAGGAACAAAA